rnacentral:lncRNA from 1 species
CAUUGGUUUUCUCGGGAUGUUGUUGUUUCUUUUUGAGAUUAGCUGUGUUUUUCAACAAUUUAUAAAAUUUCCGUGAUUCUAUGUCAUUACUUACCCGUUAUCCGCAAAUAAUUGCCAGCUUCUCAACAUUAAUCUAAGGUGGACGACGAAUGUUUUCAUGCAUAAGGCUUCCGUCAAGUCGAAUAACAUGCUCUCCAUAAAGAGAUCGAACUGGCGGAGUUGAAAUGUACACUAGGCAGAUAUGACACCUACAUUGACCAAAUACAAGAAAAUACAUUCUACAUAGUUUCAAAAGGAUUCACUGGAAUUGCGCUGGACUAAUUCCCGGAUAAAUGUAUUUCACUUGUGGAGUUUUAAUAUUCCUGUGGACCGGAUGUAUUGCGCGUCUGAAAGAAACAAAUAAUGCGACACUAUCGGACUCCAUUUCUGAUGCAAAGAAAUACUUGGUUCCUUCUGGAAUAUCUGGGAAUGUUUCGAGAAUAUACCCUGUAAAAAUCUCCUAAAGUAAUAAUAUAUCUCCAACAUUAAGUUCUGAUAGCAGUCGCUCAUCCAAAACAAUUUUUGACAGGAUGAAUAAAACUAGCUUGUAGUGGAACCUUGUGUGUGACAGGCGGUGGAUUGUUGCGUUUAUUACAUCAAUUGAGAUGGUAGGUGUUCUUGUAGGAGGGAUCGUAGCUGGUCAAAUGGCUGACUUGACUCUUCGGAAACCAGGUAUGCUCACAGGGGUUACUGCAAUGGUUCUCUUUAAUUUCGUUGGUUAUUUUACUCAGUCGUGACAAAUAUACUCUG